CUCCUCCGCAAGCUGUCAACAAAGGAGAAGCAGCCCUGAUAGGGAUCCUGGGCAUCUGGUGAGAGGUUUCGGGAUUCUGGAUGACAAUGUCUCGGUGCCCUCAAGGCCACUGAUUCCUCGCCACACAGUCUCAGUAACUCCGCAGCCUCUAGACACGGCUUUCCGGAAGCGGCCUGCAAGCUGGACCCCAGCGAGUUCGCAGGAUCUGCGUAGUCCCUGCUCGCGAUUAGAGCGCACACGAGUUUACUCCUGUCCAAGUAUUCUGAUAAGCUUCCUCUACUGCCCUCUCGUGGCCACAGUCCUCAGUGGUAUAAAUCUAAAAAACAACAAAAAUCACUGCGAAUACCUAAAAGCAAUUGCACCAAAUUCUUAGAGCAGUAGCGGCAGAAGAAACGAAGGGAGGGAAGGAUGAAGAAAGGGAGCCGGAGAAAAGAGAGAGAGAGAGGAAGAAGAAAAGGAAAUCUAGACUAACCAGUCAUCUCGAACAAUCGCACAUUCAACACAGGACUGGGGGAUCUAGGCUUUACUCCAACAUCUGCAGAAAUCAGCGAAUUCUUCAAAAGUUCUUCAUUGUAAUUAGCUGAAAUUUGUGUUCCUGUAACUUUCACUGGCUACUGCUAGUUUUGUCCUGUGGGACCACAAAGAAUCUGUCUAAGCUGUGUUGCCUGAUCCAUACCUGUUCUUUCCUUCAAACUUCUUUAGCAUUCAUUGUUGGUAACACACCAAUAAAUUAUCAUAUUUACCCUGU
rnacentral:lncRNA from 1 species